AGUUUAUCAGCUGAUUCUUUAUUGGAACGAUGUUUGGGUUCUGAAACCCAAAAUAAUAACGAAUCUUUGAAUUCGUUAAUUUGGACUUUUGCUCCGAAGCACAUUCACGCUGGACCGAAGACAAUUGAAAUUGCCACUUUCUUCGCAGUUAGUAUUUUUAAUGAAGGUUUUAUACCUAUAUUAAAAAUCUUAGAUGUUAUGGGAAUCACGAUUGGCCCAGAAGCUAAUGCUUUUGCAGCGAGACGGGACGAAGCGCGUAUCGAGCGCUCGGAACUCCGGACUUCAGAGGCGUCAAAGGAGGGUAGAACUGCACGUCUUCACAAGAGAACAUCGGAGAAUGAGCAUUUUGAAGUAGAGGAAGGAUUCUUAUAUGGAGCAGGAAUCGCCGAUUAAAAAUAUAUCACCAGGAGGGUUGGAAUAAUGCACGCCAGGACACCCUCUUUUUUUUUGACCCCCCACUUUGACUGCUCAUAACUUUGUCAAUUUUAAUUUUUUUUUUUAAUAAUUUUUUUAUGUAAUAAUAAAACAUCAAUAAACAAAUGAUAAAA